GUAAAGCACUUUAGGCUGGGAGGAAAAGUUAAUAGUGAAUAGCUAUUGAAAUUGACGUUACCAGCAGAAUAAGCACCGGCUAACUCUGUGCCAGCAGCCGCGGUAAUACAGAGGGUGCGAGCGUUAAUCGGAAUUACUGGGCGUAAAGGGUGCGUAGGCGGUAUAGUAAGUCGGAUGUGAAAUGCCCGGGCUCAACUUGGGAACUGCAUUCGAAACUGCAAUGCUAGAGUACAGUAGAGGAAAGUGGAAUUCCAGGUGUAGCGGUGAAAUGCGUAGAUAUCUGGAGGAACACCGGUGGCGAAGGCGACUUUCUGGACUGAUACUGACGCUGAGGUACG
rnacentral:rRNA from 1 species